UACACUCCUGCGGGAGGCAGCAGUGGGGAAUAUUGCACAAUGGGCGCAAGCCUGAUGCAGCCAUGCCGCGUGUAUGAAGAAGGCCUUCGGGUUGUAAAGUACUUUCAGCGGGGAGGAAGGCGAUAAGGUUAAUAACCUUGUCGAUUGACGUUACCCGCAGAAGAAGCACCGGCUAACUCCGUGCCAGCAGCCGCGGUAAUACGGAGGGUGCAAGCGUUAAUCGGAAUUACUGGGCGUAAAGCGCACGCAGGCGGUCUGUCAAGUCGGAUGUGAAAUCCCCGGGCUCAACCUGGGAACUGCAUUCGAAACUGGCAGGCUAGAGUCUUGUAGAGGGGGGUAGAAUUCCAGGUGUAGCGGUGAAAUGCGUAGAGAUCUGGAGGAAUACCGGUGGCGAAGGCGGCCCCCUGGACAAAGACUGACGCUCAGGUGCGAAAGCGUGGGGAGCAAACAGGAUUAGAAACCCUAGUAGUCCCAU
rnacentral:rRNA from 1 species